GGGGUGAAAAUAUAAAGUGUUCCAAUCAUAUUGAAAGGUAUUCCAUAUUAUUUAUCUGAUCAUAAAGAUUCCAAAAAGGUACAGUUUGGACCAUCUAUGGCUGAAUUCUAUAGAGUUACGGGGUAGAAAAUAGCAAAAAUAGUGAGAAAGGUCAAUUACAGUUUGUACAGGGGUCUAAAGUUACAGUUGCUCCAAUUCUGGUAUUAAAGAAAUUGCGAAAAUUAAU